GAUGAACGCUGGCGGCGUGCUUAACACAUGCAAGUCGAACGGAAAGGCCCAAGCUUGCUUGGGUACUCGAGUGGCGAACGGGUGAGUAACACGUGGGUGAUCUGCCCUGCACUUCGGGAUAAGCCUUGGAAACUGGGUCUCAUACCGGGUAGGACGAUGUGUUGGAUGCCAUUGUGGAGAGUUUUUUCGGUGUGGGAUGACCUCGGGGUCUAUCAGCUUGUUGGUGGGUUAUUGGCAUAGCAAGGCGUCGACGGGUAGCCGGCCUGAGAGAGUGGAGGGCCAGAUUGGGACUGAGAGACAGGCCAGAGUCGGACGGCAGGCGGCAGUGGGGAAUAUUGCACAAAGGGAGCAAGCCUGAGGCAGGGACGCCGCGGGAUGGAUGACGGCCGUCAGGUGGGAAGCACCUAUCGCUAGGGACGAGUCGUUUUUGUGACGGUACCUGGAGAAGAAGCACCGGCUAACUACGUG
rnacentral:rRNA from 1 species